AUGAACGCUGGCGGCGUGCUUAACACAUGCAAGUCGAACGAAGCACUUUAUUACAAUUUCUUCGGAAUGACGAUUUGGUGACUGAGUGGCGGACGGGUGAGUAACGCGUGGGUAACCUGCCUUAUACAGGGGGAUAACAGUUAGAAAUGACUGCUAAUACCGCAUAAGCGCACAGGAUUGCAUGAUCUGGUGUGAAAAACUCCGGUGGUAUAAGAUGGACCCGCGUCUGAUUAGCUGGUUGGUGAGGUAACGGCCCACCAAGGCGACGAUCAGUAGCCGACCUGAGAGGGUGACCGGCCACAUUGGGACUGAGACACGGCCCAAACUCCUACGGGAGGCAGCAGUGGGGAAUAUUGCACAAUGGGGGAAACCCUGAUGCAGCGACGCCGCGUGAGCGAAGAAGUAUUUCGGUAUGUAAAGCUCUAUCAGCAGGGAAGAAAAAAAUGACGGUACCUGACUAAGAAGCCCCGGCUAACUACGUGCCAGCAGCCGCGGUAAUACGUAGGGGGCAAGCGUUAUCCGGAUUUACUGGGUGUAAAGGGAGCGCAGGCGGUGCGGCAAGUCUGAUGUGAAAGCCCGGGGCUCAACCCCGGGACUGCAUUGGAAACUGUCGUACUUGAGUAUCGGAGAGGUAAGUGGAAUUCCUAGUGUAGCGGUGAAAUGCGUAGAUAUUAGGAGGAACACCAGUGGCGAAGGCGGCUUACUGGACGAUAACUGACGCUGAGGCUCGAAAGCGUGGGGAGCAAACAGGAUUAGAUACCCUGGUAGUCCACGCUGUAAACGAUGAAUACUAGGUGUGCGGGGACUGACCCCCUGCGUGCCGCAGCUAACGCAAUAAGUAUUCCACCUGGGGAGUACGAUCGCAAGGUUGAAACUCAAAGGAAUUGACGGGGGCCCGCACAAGCGGUGGAUUAUGUGGUUUAAUUCGAAGCAACGCGAAGAACCUUACCAGGGCUUGACAUCCUACUAACGAGAUAGAGAUAUGUUAGGUGCCCUUCGGGGAAAGUAGAGACAGGUGGUGCAUGGUUGUCGUCAGCUCGUGUCGUGAGAUGUUGGGUUAAGUCCCGCAACGAGCGCAACCCCUAUUGUUAGUUGCUACGCAAGAGCACUCUAGCGAGACUGCCGUUGACAAAACGGAGGAAGGUGGGGACGACGUCAAAUCAUCAUGCCCCUUAUGACUUGGGCUACACACGUGCUACAAUGGCGUAAACAAAGGGAAGCGAAAAGGUGACUUCUAGCAAAUCCCAAAAAUAACGUCCCAGUUCGGACUGUAGUCUGCAACUCGACUACACGAAGCUGGAAUCGCUAGUAAUCGCGAAUCAGAAUGUCGCGGUGAAUACGUUCCCGGGUCUUGUACACACCGCCCGUCACACCAUGGGAGUCGGGAAUGCCCGAAGCCGGUGACUCAACCGAAAGGAGAGAGCCGUCGAAGGCAGGUCUGAUAACUGGGGUG
rnacentral:rRNA from 1 species